UACAGGAGCUGAAUAUUAUGUAAAAUGUCUGUCGAUCCCGUCUGAUCUCGAAAGCUAAGCAGGGUCGGGCCUGGUUAGUACUCGGAUGGGAGACCACCUAGGAAGACCAGGUGCUCUAGGCA
rnacentral:rRNA from 1 species